rnacentral:rRNA from 1 species
UACGAAGGGGGCUAGCGUUGUUCGGAAUUACUGGGCGUAAAGCGCGCGCAGGCGGUUUUUCAAGUCAGUGGUGAAAGCCCGGAGCUCAACUCCGGAAAUGCCAUUGAAACUGUAAAACUUGAGGACGAGAGAGGUGAGUGGAAUUCCCAGUGUAGAGGUGAAAUUCGUAGAUAUUGGGAAGAACACCGGUGGCGAAGGCGGCUCACUGGCUCGUUUCUGACGCUCAGGCGCGAUAGCGUGGGGAGCAAACAGG